rnacentral:rRNA from 1 species
UUUUGGCGACGCGCGCACCGAGUCCCCUGGAAUGGGGCGCCGCAGAGGGUGAGAGCCCCGUAUGGUGCGACGCCGAGCCUCUGUAAAGCUCCUUCGACGAGUCGAGUAGUUUGGGAAUGCUGCUCUAAACGGGAGGUAAAUUUCUUCUAUAGCUAAAUAUUGGCCAGAGACCGAUAGCGCACAAGUAGAGUGAUCGAAAGAUGAAAAGCACUUUGAAAAGAGGGUUAAAAAGCACGUGAAAUUGUUGAAAGGGAAGCGCUAGUGACCAGACUUGCGCCCCGGGGAUCAUCCGGCGUUCUCGCCGGUGCACUCCCCGGGGCUCAGGCCAGCAUCGGUUUUCGCCGGGGGACAAAAGCUUCGGGAACGUGGCCCCCCUCCGGGGGGGUGUUAUAGCCCGUGGCAUAAUACCCCGGCGGGGACCGAGGACCGCGCUUCGGCAAGGAUGCUGGCGUAAUGGUCAUCAGCGACCCGUCUUGAAACACGGACCGAGGAGUCAAGCAUUAAUGCGAGUGUUUGGGUGUAAAACCCGCACGCGUAAUGAAAGUAAACGUAGGUGAGAGCUUCGGCGCAUCAUCGACCGAUCCUGAUGUAUUCGGAUGGAUUUGAGUAGGAGCAUUAACGCUUGGACCCGAAAGAUGGUGAACUAUACUUGAAUAUGGUGAAGCCAGAGGAAACUCUGGUGGAGGCUCGCAGCGGUUCUGACGUGCAAAUCGAUCGUC